rnacentral:misc_RNA from 1 species
GCGAAAUGCGAUAAGUAGUGUGAAUUGCAGAAUUCAGUGAAUCAUCGAAUCUUUGAACGCACAUUGCGCCCCUUGGUAUUCCAUGGGGCAUGCCUGUUCGAGCGUCAUUUGUACCUUCAAGCUCUGCUUGGUGUUGGGUGUUUGUCUCGCCUCUGCGUGUAGACUCGCCUCAAAACAAUUGGCAGCCGGCGUAUUGAUUUCGGAGCGCAGUACAUCUCGCGCUUUGCACUCAUAACGACGACGUCCAAAAGUACAUUUUUACACUCUUGACCUCGGAUCAGGUAGGGAUACCCGCUGAACUUAA